rnacentral:rRNA from 1 species
UUCCGGUUGAUCCUGCCGAAGGCUACUGCUAUUGGAGUUCGAUUAAGCCAUGCGAGUCUAAGGGAUCUUCGGAUCCCUGGCGUAAUGCUCAGUAACACGUGGAUAAUCUACCCUCAGGUGGGGCAUAAACCCGGGAAACUGGGGCCAAUUCCCCAUAGAUACAGAUGGCUGGAAUGCUUCUGUAUUCAAAGCUCCGGCGCCUGAGGAUGGGUCUGCGGCCUAUCAGGUUGUAGUCAGGGUCAAGACCUGACUAGCCAGCGACGGGUAUGGGGUGUGAGAGCACUUGCCCAGAGAUGGUUUCUGAGACACGAAACCAGGCCCUACGGGGCGCAGCAGGCGCGAAAACUUCGCAAUGCGGGAAACCGUGACGAGGGAACUCCAAGUGUCUAUGCAUUGCAUAGACUGUUUUUUAGCCUAAAUAGCUAUUAGAGUAAGGGGUGGGCAAGACCGGUGCCAGCCGCCGCGGUAACACCGGCACCUCGAGUGGUAGCCACUAUUAUUGGGCCUAAAGCGUUCGUAGCCGGUUUGGUAAAUUCUUGGGUAAAUCGUACCGCUUAACGGUGCGGAUUCCGGGGACACUACCAGACUUGAGACCGGGGGAGAUCAGAGGUACUUGCGGGGGAGCGGUGAAAUGUUGUAAUCCCGCAGGGACCACCAGUGGCGAAGGCGUCUGAUCAGAACGGCUCUGACGGUGAGGAACGAAACCCUGGGGCGCAAACGGGAUUAGAUACCCCGGUAGUCCAGGGCGUAAACGCUGCUGACUUGGUGUUGGAGAUCCUACGAGGAUGUCCAGUGCUGGCGCGAAGGUAUUAAGUCAGCCGCCUGGGGAGUACGGUCGCAAGACUGAAACUUAAAGGAAUUGGCGGGGGAGCACUGCAACGUGUGGAGCGUGCGGUUUAAUUGGAGUCAACGCCGG